UACGGUUCGCUAGAGUUUUUGUUAUUAUUUUCAUAACCACAUUGCAAAGAUUUAUGGGACAAAAAUGCUAGAUUGUCUCAAGGCAAUUAAUCUUUGGGAUAAGAACAAUCAUAGUUUUAUUGAGGUCAGUCAGUACCUAUUUUCCCUCUGGAACAUUCCUAACAUAGGUCGUUAUAGUGCCCCCAACAACAUUACAUUUACUUUGAAAGAAAAUAGUAGAUAUUCCAUCAGCCCCUGGGCCUUAAGCGGCUUCAUUCUAAAGAGCGCAUUCUUAAUUUCCUCUGCGCUAUAAGGCUCCUUCAGGUUGGCAAGAAGAUCAUGACUAAUGGAAGGGAAAUGAGGCUCCACCUUAUAUUGAAUGUCGCCAAUAU
rnacentral:lncRNA from 1 species